rnacentral:rRNA from 1 species
GAUUAACGCUGGCGGCGUGCAUAACACAUGCAAGUCGAACGAUGAAACUUAACUGAUUUCUUCGGAAUGAUUUUAAGUGGAUUAGUGGCGGACGGGUGAGUAACGCGUGAGUAACCUGCCUUGGAGAAGGGGAUAGCCUUUGGAAACGAAGAAUAAUACCCUAUGAUAUGAUAAUAUCUCAUGAUAUUAUCAUCAAAGAUUUAUCGCUCUAAGAUGGACUCGCGUCUGAUUAGUUAGUUGGUGAGGUAACAGCUCACCAAGGCAGCGAUCAGUAGCCGGCUUGAGAGAGUGUACGGCCACAUUGGGACUGAGACACGGCCCAGACUCCUACGGGAGGCAGCAGUGGGGAAUUUUGCACAAUGGGGGAAACCCUGAUGCAGCGACGCCGCGUGAUUUAGAAGGCCUUCGGGUUGUAAAAAUCUUUUGUAUGGGAAGAAAAUGACAGUACCAUACGAAUAAGGACCGGCUAAUUACGUG